rnacentral:lncRNA from 1 species
AAAUAUAGCAUCAAAGGGAUACAGUCAUAAUAAGCAUACACCCAGCUUCUACUUAAUUAAAUUUGGCUAUGCACAUGCUUGUUUAUUUAGGAAAAGUGUAAGAUUUUGCUAAACUAAAUUCCUAAUAGUGAAGACAUCGUGUCGAAAUUUUCAGUCCUAAUUCCUACUUGUUUCUGACCAGGCCUUGUUUAUUUAGUUGGAUGACCAGGCCUUGUUGGUUGCGAAUGUGCUUUUCUUGAAAACUUAUAUGACCAAGUUUGUGUAUACCAUUAGAUGCUAUGUAUGAUGACAGAAAAGACACCCUAUAAUUCAAAUUUAGUUUUACGUAUGGGUCCUUAUUUACUCAACUUUAGUUUUCCCAAUGAUAUUUCUCGUUUCCAGGUUG